GCUACUUGUGUUCCUUCUUUUAAUGGAACUUAUAAGCACAAUCAAUCUCUUAACAAUCGUUCUUCUACUCUUCGUUGUUUCCAAGAUAUGGAAAGCUUGUUGGAUCCUCCUUUUGCGUCCAUUGAUGCUAUCAAAAAGAUUCAAGAAACAAGGAAUCUCAGGACCAAAGUACAAAAUCUUGUACGGAAACCUCAGCGAGAUAAAGAAGAUGAAGAAAGAAGCUGACCUUUGUGUUCUGGAUCCCAAUUCCAAUGAUAUUUUCCCUCGUGUGUUUCCUCAGUAUCACCAAUGGAUGUCUCAAUACGGUACCGUUUUCUAUCCAUCUUGUUUUUUUUUUCUUCUUUUCAUAGAUGAG
rnacentral:lncRNA from 1 species